rnacentral:lncRNA from 1 species
ACUGGCAGGACUGCGCGGCGGCGAUUACAGACAUUUCGGGGGUCCGGGGCCUGUCGCGACUGCUAAGCGCUCGGCGCCUGGCGCUGGCCAAGGCGUGGCCAACAGUGUUGCAAACAGGAACCCGAGGUUUUCACUUCACUGUUGAAGGAACACGAGGGCAUCUGCUAAAGUUUCAGAUUCCAUUUCUGCUCAGUAUCCAGUAGUGGAUCAUGAAUUUGAUGCAGCGGUGGUAGGCGCUGGAGGGGCAGGCUUGCGAGCUGCAUUUGGCCUUUCUGAGGCAGGGUUUAAUACGGCAUGUGUUACAAAGCUGUUUCCUACCAGGUCACACACUGUUGCAGCGCAGCUAGAAAAUUAUGGCAUGCCGUUUAACAGCACUGAAGAUGGGAAGAUUUAUCAGCAUGCAUUUGGUGGACAGAGCCUCAGGUUUGGAAAGGGCGGGCAGGCCCAUCGGUGCUGCUGUUUGGCUGAUCGGACCGGCCACUCAAUAUUGCACACCUUAUAUGGGAGGUCUCUUUGAUGUGAUACCAGCUGUUUUGUGGAGUAUUUUGCCUUGGAUCUCCUGAUGGAGAAUGGGGAGUGAUGUGGUGUCAUCGCACUGUGCAUAGAGGACGGGUCCAUCCAUCGCAUAAGAGCAAAGAACACUGUUGUUGCCACAGGGCUGCGGGUGCACCUGCUUCAGCUGCACAUCUGCCCACACCAGCAGCGGCGAUGGCACGGCCAUGAUCACCAGGGAAGGCCUUCCUUGCCAGGACCUCGAGUUUGUUCAGUUCCACCCCACAGGUACAUAUGGUGCUGGUUGUCUCAUUACGGAAGGAUGUCAUGGAGAGGGAGGCAUUCUGAUUAACAGUCAAGGUGAAAGGUUUAUGGAGCGAUACGCCCCCGUCGCGAAGGACCUGGCGUCUAGAGUUGUGGUGUGUCGGUCGAUGACUGGAGAUCCGCGAAGGAAGAGGCUGUGGCCCUGAGAAAGAUCACGUCUACCUGCAGCUGCACCACCUACCUCUAGAGCAGCUGGCCACGCGCCUGCCUGGUAUUUCAGAGACAGCCAUGAUCUUCACUGGCGUGGACGUCACGAAGGAGCCGAUCCAUGUCCUCCCCACCGUGCAUUAUAAUGUGGACGGCAUUCCCACCAGCUACAAGGGGCAGGUCCUGAAGCACGCGAAUGGCCAGGAUCAGAUUGUGACCAGCCUGUACACCUGUGGGGAGGCCGCCUGUGCCUUGGUACAUGGUGCCAACCCCCUCGGGGCAAACUCACUGUUGGACCUGGUUGUCUGGUCAGGCAUGUGCCCUGAGUAUCAAAGAGUCAUGCAGGCCUGGAGAUAAAGUCCCUCCAAUUAAACCAAAUGCUGGGGAAGAAUCUGUCACGAAUCUUGAGAAAUUGAGAUUUGCUGAUGGAAGAAGCAGAAGAACAUGGGAACUGCGACUCAGCAUGCGGAAGUCAAUGCAAAAUCAUGCUGCCAUGUUCCGUGUGGGAAGCGUGUUGCAAGAAGGUUGUGGGAAAAUCAGCAAGCUCUACAGAGACCUGAAACACCUGCAGAUGUUUGACCGGGGAAUGGUCUGGAACACGGACCUGGUGGAGACCCUGGAGCUGCAGAACCUGAUGCUGUGUGUGCUGGAGACCAUCAAUGGAGCAGAGGCGCGGAAGGAGUCAUGGGGCGCGUACGCCAGGGAAGAAUACAAGGUGUGGAUUAAUGAGUACGAUCACUCCAAGCCCAUCCAGGGGCAGCAGAAGAAGCCCUUUGAGGAGCACUGGAGGAAGCACACCCUGUCCUAUGUGGACGUCAGCACUGGGAAGUGCACAGCCAGAGAACAACACAUCACACACAGGAAACAGUUGUGCUCAUGUGAUGGGGGCCUCAGCACUAGGAAGGAGUGGACUAUUGGCGCAUGUAGCAGCUUGAAUAAAUCUGAAAGUCACUACACUGCGUAAGAGAAGCCAAAUAAAAAAGUUCAUGCUGUGUACAGAGGGUGUUGAGAAUGCCUCCUACGUGACGGAAAGCAGAUCCGUGGUUCCCUGCAGACCGGCAGGAGCAGAUUCCAAAGGCACAGGAAGAAGCUUGCAGGUAGAAUGUGUUCAUUACCUUCUGCGCAUUAUACCACAAAAAAGCUGGUAAUAAAAAUGCUAACC